CAGCAGUGAGGAAGGCGGGUACGUUAAUAGCGUGCUUGUUUGACGUUAGCUGCAGAAGAAGCACCGGCUAACUCCGUGCCAGCAGCCGCGGUAAUACGGAGGGUGCGAGCGUUAAUCGGAAUUACUGGGCGUAAAGCGCAUGCAGGUGGUUUGUUAAGUCAGAUGUGAAAGCCCGGGGCUCAACCUCGGAAUUGCAUUUGAAAACUGGCAGACUAGAGUACUGUAGAGGGGGUAGAAUUUCAGGUGUAGCGGUGAAAAUGCGUAGAGAUCUGAAGGAAUACCGGUGGCGAAGGCGGCCCCCUGGACAGAUACUGACACUCAGAUGCGAAAGCGUGGGGAGCAAACAGGAUUAGAUACCCUGGUAG
rnacentral:rRNA from 1 species